GAUGAACGCUAGCUACAGGCUUAACACAUGCAAGUCGAGGGGAAACGAUAUUGGAAGCUUGCUUCCGAUAGGCGUCGACCGGCGCACGGGUGAGUAACGCGUAUCCAACCUGCCCACCACUUGGGGAUAACCUUGCGAAAGCAAGACUAAUACCCAAUGACGUCCAUAGAAGACAUCUGAAAUGGAUUAAAGAUUUAUCGGUGAUGGAUGGGGAUGCGUCUGAUUAGCUUGUUGGCGGGGUAACGGCCCACUAAGGCGACGAUCAGUAGGGGUUCUGAGAGGAAGGUCCCCCACAUUGGAACUGAGACGCGGUCCAAACUCCUACGGGAGGCAGCAGUGAGGAAUAUUGGUCAAUGGGCGAGAGCCUGAACCAGCCAAGUAGCGUGCAGGAUGACGGCCCUAUGGGUUGUAAACUGCUUUUAUAAGGGAAUAAAGUGAGCCUCGUGAGGCUUUUUGCAUGUACCUUAUGAAUAAGGACCGGCUAAUUCCGUGCCAGCAGCCGCGGUAA
rnacentral:rRNA from 1 species